rnacentral:rRNA from 1 species
ACGCUGGCGGCGUGCCUAAUACAUGCAAGUAGAACGCUGAAGGAGGAGCUUGCUUCUCCGGAUGAGUUGCGAACGGGUGAGUAACGCGUAGGUAACCUGCCUGGUAGCGGGGGAUAACUAUUGGAACGAUAGCUAAUACCGCAUAAGAGUAGAUGUCGCAUGACAUUUGCUUAAAAGGUGCAAUUGCAUCACUACCAGAUGGACCUGCGUUGUAUUAGCUAGUUGGUGGGGUAACGGCUCACCAAGGCGACAAUACAUAGCCGACCUGAGAGGGUGAUCGGCCACACUGGGACUGAGACACGGCCCAGACUCCUACGGGAGGCAGCAGUAGGGAAUCUUCGGCAAUGGACGGAAGUCUGACCGAGCAACGCCGCGUGAGUGAAGAAGGUUUUCGGAUCGUAAAGCUCUGUUGUAAGAGAAGAACGAGUGUGAGAGUGGAAAGUUCACACUGUGACGGUAUCUUACCAGAAAGGGACGGCUAGCUACGUGCCAGCAGCCGCGGUAAUACGUAGGUCCCGAGCGUUGUCCGGAUUUAUUGGGCGUAAAGCGAGCGCAGGCGGUUAGAUAAGUCUGAAGUUAAAGGCUGUGGCUUAACCAUAGUACGCUUUGGAAACUGUUUAACUUGAGUGCAAGAGGGGAGAGUGGAAUUCCAUGUGUAGCGGUGAAAUGCGUAGAUAUAUGGAGGAACACCGGUGGCGAAAGCGGCUCUCUGGCUUGUAACUGACGCUGAGGCUCGAAAGCGUGGGGAGCAAACAGGAUUAGAUACCCCUGGUAGUCCACGCCGUAAACGAUGAGUGCUAGGUGUUAGACCCUUUCCGGGGUUUAGUGCCGCAGCUAACGCAUUAAGCACUCCGCCUGGGGAGUACGACCGCAAGGU